rnacentral:rRNA from 1 species
GACCAGACUCCUACGGGAGGCAGCAGUGGGGGAUAUUGCACAAUGGGGGGAACCCUGAUGCAGCAACGCCGCGUGGGUGAAGGAGCGUUUCGGCGCGUAAAGCCCUAUCGGCAGGGAAGAAGGAGGACGGUACCUGACUAAGAAGCCCCGGCUAACUACGUGCCAGCAGCCGCGGGAAUACGUAGGGGGCAAGCGUUAUCCGGAUUUACUGGGUGUAAAGGGGGCGCAGACGGCAGCGCAAGCCAGGAGUGAAAGCCCGGGGCCCAACCCCGGGACUGCUCUUGGAACUGCGCGGCUGGAGUGCAGGAGGGGCAGGCGGAAUUCCUGGUGUAGCGGUGAAAUGCGUAGAUAUCAGGAGGAACACCGGUGGCGAAGGCGGCCUGCUGGACUGCGACUGACGUUGAGGCCCGAAAGCGUGGGGAGCAAACAGGAUUAGAUACCCGUGUAU